UACAUGCAAGUCGAGCGGACUUGAAGAGAAGCUUGCUUCUCCGAUGGUUAGCGGCGGACGGGUGAGUAACACGUAGGCAACCUGCCCUCAAGCUUGGGACAACUACCGGAAACGGUAGCUAAUACCGAAUAGUUGUUUUCUUCUCCUGAAGAAAACUGGAAAGACGGAGCAAUCUGUCACUUGGGGAUGGGCCUGCGGCGCAUUAGCUAGUUGGUGGGGUAACGGCUCACCAAGGCGACGAUGCGUAGCCGACCUGAGAGGGUGAUCGGCCACACUGGGACUGAGACACGGCCCAGACUCCUACGGGAGGCAGCAGUAGGGAAUCUUCCGCAAUGGGCGAAAGCCUGACGGAGCAAUGCCGCGUGAGUGAUGAAGGUUUUCGGAUCGUAAAGCUCUGUUGCCAGGGAAGAACGCUUGGGAGAGUAACUGCUCUCAAGGUGACGGUACCUGAGAAGAAAGCCCCGGCUAACUACGUGCCAGCAGCCGCGGUAAUACGUAGGGGGCAAGCGUUGUCCGGAAUUAUUGGGCGUAAAGCGCGCGCAGGCGGUCAUUUAAGUCUGGUGUUUAAUCCCGGGGCUCAACCCCGGAUCGCACUGGAAACUGGGUGACUUGAGUGCAGAAGAGGAGAGUGGAAUUCCACGUGUAGCGGUGAAAUGCGUAGAUAUGUGGAGGAACACCAGUGGCGAAGGCGACUCUCUGGGCUGUAACUGACGCUGAGGCGCGAAAGCGUGGGAGCAAACAGGAUUAGAUACCCUGGUAGUCCACGCCGUAAACGAUGAGUGCUAGGUGUUAGGGGUUUCGAUACCCUUGGUGCCGAAGUUAACACAUUAAGCACUCCGCCUGGGGAGUACGGUCGCAAGACUGAAACUC
rnacentral:rRNA from 1 species